UCGUCGUCGCGCACGGAGCCUGCGCGCCGCGGGGCCGUGCCGAGGGGCUUCCUGCGGGAGGUGCUGUCCGGAGUGGGUUUCGGCGGUCUUGGCCGGGUCACGCGUCGAACCCUUUAAGGAAGCCUCAGAGGAGGCUUGAGACAAAGACGGGGAGGCCUGAGGCAGCCGACCCGCUGUACUGUAGUCUUCCCUCCGGUCGCUCGCUCCCCUUCCCUUGACUGCGUUCCCUUCCGGGUCAGGGGCUGCCCCGGGCCCCUCGCAGCCGCGCUUCCCGCGGCGUGCCUGGCCCUACGCUUGGCGCCCCGUGGCCGUGGCCGUGUCCGCGUCCCGGCUGCAAGCUGCGGGAAGCCAAGCGUGCCGCUCCAGAGUCGGGGUGGGGACCGGCGGGUGGCAGCCCGGGACUCUGAAGACCACAGGCGCUCCCGACCAGCUCCGGGGUGAGCUUCCCAGAGGUCGGCGCCCCUGGACUCCCUGAUUCCUCGCUCUCGCCGAGGCCCCAGCUCGCCCACCGCCCCUCCACCCUGGAGCAGCCACAGCGGAGACCUGGAGCCCCGAGCGUGCUCCAUACCCGGCCAUUUGGAUCUGUCUGACCGGCUCCCUGUGUGGGCACUCAUUUCAGUUCUGCCUCAGCGCCUUCCUGGAAAACGGUGGUUCCUGAAUGAAAGAUGUCUAGAGAGAGAAACAAGUCUCCACCUUUGCAAGUUUUCGUACUGCUUUCAAAGAGCUAAAUGAAGCAGAAUGCAGUUUAAUGUUUGUCAGAGCUAAUCGCACCGGGUUAUUUUGAUAAAUGCAGUUUAAAGACA